GAUGAACGCUGGCGGCGUGCCUAAUACAUGCAAGUCGAGCGAACAGACGCGGAGCUUGUGCCUCUGUCGUUAGCGGCGGACGGGUGAGUAACACGUGUAUCCCCUCCCUAUCUUACUGGUAAAAUCUCGAGAAUCCGGAGAAAACCCCGGAGAAUCUCUUGCACCGCAGGGUUGAUUAGUAAAAGUCGGCUUUUCUGGCUCUUCUAGCUGCUUCCGGGCCGCUUUAGGUAGUUGUUAAGGUAACGGCUUACCAAGGCGACGAGGCGUAGCCGACCUGAGAGAGGGAUCGGCCACAUGGGAACUGAAACACGGACCAGACUCCUGCGGGAGGCAGCAGAAGGGAAUCUGCCGCAGUGGGCGGAAGCCUGGCGGAGCGACGCGGCGUGAGUGAUGAAGGUCUUCGGAUCGUAAAACUCUCUUAUUAGGGAAAAACAAAUGUGGAAGUAACUAUGCACUGCUUGACGGUACCUGAUCAGAAAGCCCCGGCUAACUACGUG
rnacentral:rRNA from 1 species